rnacentral:rRNA from 1 species
GGGCCCGCACAAGCGGUGGAGCAUGUGGUUUAAUUCGAUGCAACGCGAAGAACCUUACCAAGGCUUGACAUACUACAGAUUUCUUUGAAAAAGGAAAGUGCCUUCGGGAAUGUAGAUACAGGUGGUGCAUGGCUGUCGUCAGCUCGUGUCGUGAGAUGUUGGGUUAAGUCCCGCAACGAGCGCAACCCUUAUUUUUAGUUACCAAUUCGUUGGGUUUUUUAGAAAGACUGCCGGUGACAAACCGGAGGAAGGUGAGGAUGACGUCAAGUCAGCAUGCCCCUUAUGUCCUGGGCUACACACGUGCUACAAUGGCUAGGACAGACGGCCGCAAACCCGCGAGGGGAGCC